rnacentral:rRNA from 3 species
CAUUCCGAACUCAGAAGUGAAACGAAAUAGCGCCGAUGGUAGUGUGGGGUUUCCCCAUGUGAGAGUAGGACAUCGCCAGGCU